GAAUAGAAACAGAUGCCAGGCCAAAAACCCAAA
rnacentral:rRNA from 1 species